UGGAGAGUUAGCCCUGAGGCUGAAGGACCACUUCCCCAAACCCUGAGGGACAGUGCUUUCUCUGCUGUCACUGAGCCUCCCAGACAUCACAGUGAUGUCCAGCUUGGCUCUGUAACUGCCCAGUGGAAUGCUAGCAGAAGUGAAAUUGGCCACGUCUGAGAAGUUUAAACAGCCCUGCUGUGAUCCCACCAUGGCUUCUUUCCUGGUGCCAUGAGGAUGCAUGUCCUAGGCACAGGCAGACUGCUACAUCAGCCUGGAUCCCAGCCAGCAAGGUUGAUUCAGCAUCUUACUUCUCUUUUCCUGAUGAUGGACUUUGCUAAGGAGGACAAGUUGACCUGAAGAGCCUCUACUACCUCCAGGCGUGAGCACAUGCCAGGUGACUCCUCACAGCUCCACAAGCCAGCACUGUCAUUGCCAUGCAACAGAACGAGCCUUAAGCAAAUGUCUGAAACUUAGGAAACCGCCAGGAACCAUAGAACCCAGCCCAAGAAGAUGGCUGUCAGUUGGCCAAAGUCUUGAGAAGUCAGUUUUGUUUGCAACUCUAAAAAUGUUUAGGACUUCUAGUCAAUACUUGACAGCAGAUGAUGGGAGCAGAAAUCUUGUCUUUGUUUCCAGCCUUAAGAGGAAAAAUAUAUUUUAAUCUACCGCAUUCCUGAAUAGAAUUAAGGAUCUGGACUAAAGACCGGGCAGGAAUUCUUCAGUUUUCCACAUUCUUCUUAACUCACUGUGGGGCUCUUAACAGAGAAGCAAGAUUGGCCCUUCACUCAGUUGAUCUGUAUCCCUUCUCUCUACAAGAAGCAGGUUAAGGAUCUGAUAUUGUCACUGCUAUGGCACAGGUUCGAUCCCUGGUCUGGGAACUUCUGCAUGCCAGAGACAUGGCCAAAAGAAUAAAAAAGGAAUGAUACAGAACUACUGAAGAAACAAAAACACAGUAGGAAAAAAAAAACAGAAGGAAUCAAUAGCAGGAUAAUGGCAGCAGAAGGAAGAAUAAAUGAAGUGGAAGACAGAGUGAUGGAAAUCACUGCCAUAGAAAGGAAUUGAAAAACAAAAAUGAAAAGGACUGAGAAGCAAAAAAAAAAAAAAAAAAAAAA
rnacentral:lncRNA from 1 species